UACGGAGGUGGCAAGCGUUGCUCGGAAUCACUGGGCGUAAAGGGCGCGUAGGCGGGGAGGUAAGUCGGGUGUGAAAUCCCUCGGCCCAACCGAGGAACUGCGCCCGAGACUGCUUCUCUUGAGUCCCGGAGAGGAAGAUGGAAUUCCCGGUGUAGCGGUGAAAUGCGUAGAGAUGGGGGAGAACACUUGUGGCGAAGGCGGCCAGCUGGACCAGUUCUGACGCUGAGGCGCGAAAGCGUGGGGAGCAAACAGG
rnacentral:rRNA from 1 species